UACGUAGGGUGCGAGCGUUGUCCGGAAUUAUUGGGCGUAAAGAGCUCGUAGGCGGCUUGUUGCGUCGGCCGUGAAAACCUGCAGCUUAACUGUGGGCCUGCGGCCGAUACGGGCAGACUUGAGUUCGGUAGGGGAGACUGGAAUUCCUGGUGUAGCGGUGAAAUGCGCAGAUAUCAGGAGGAACACCGGUGGCGAAGGCGGGUCUCUGGGCCGAUACUGACGCUGAGGAGCGAAAGCGUGGGGAGCGAACAGG
rnacentral:rRNA from 1 species